GAUGAAGAACGUAGCGAAAUGCGAUAAGUAAUGCGAAUUGCAGAAUUCCAGUGAGUCAUCGAAUCUUUGAACGCACAUUGCGCCCUUUGGUAUUCCGAAGGGCAUGCCUGUUCGAGCGUCAUUAUCACCCCUCAAGCCCCGUGCUUGGUGUUGGACGGCCGGUCGAGCGAUCGACCCCUCCUAAAGUCAAUGACGGCGGCCUGUGGUUCCCCCGGUACACUGAGCUUUUAACUGAGCACGUAUCGGACAAGGGCACCCGGGACCCGGUCCUCUCCUUCAACUAGGAAACUUCUAAGGUUGACCUCGGAUCAGGUAGGAAUACGCGCUGAACUUAAGCAUAUCAAUAAGCGGAGGA
rnacentral:misc_RNA from 1 species